rnacentral:tmRNA from 1 species
GGGGCCGACUGGUUUUGACAGCAUAAGGCAGGGUGCGUAAGCGUGUCGUGCGUUGUAUCAUUAGCACGUAAAUCUGAAGAUUCGAACAAUAACUGGCAAUACUACGUAUGCCAUGGCUGCCUAAUCGGAGAUUAGUCACCCAUUUUGACCGCCGCAACGCAGCAUGCCCUUAGCUGCAGCCGCCGUCUAAAUCAAACAAAAUAGGGAUAGCUGAGGUGUUGCUGCGCCACCGAUGCGAAAUCAAAGCAGCUAAGCAAAGGGUUGGUUGGACUGUUUCCUGCUCUCUUGCCGACAAACAAUAACAGGAUACACACGUAGAAAGCUCAUCGGGCAUAUGUUUGGACCCGGGUUCGAAUCCCGGCGGCUCCACAA